rnacentral:rRNA from 1 species
UACAGAGGGGGCAAGCGUUAUUCGGAAUUAUUGGGCGUAAAGGGCGCGUAGGCGGCUUGACAAGUGGAAGGUGAAAUCCCUCGGCUUAACCGAGGAACUGCCUUCCAGACUGUCUGGCUUGAGACCGGGAGAGGUGAGUGGAAUUCCCAGUGUAGCGGUGAAAUGCGUAGAUAUUGGGAGGAACACCAGUGGCGAAGGCGGCUCACUGGACCGGUACUGACGCUGAGGCGCGAAAGCGUGGGGAGCAAACGGGG